UGGGGAAUUUUGCACAAUGGGGGAAACCCUGAUGCAGCGACGCCGCGUGAUUUAGAAGGCCUUCGGGUUGUAAAAAUCUUUUCUAUGGGAAGAAAAUGACAGUACCAUAGGAAUAAGGACCGGCUAAUUACGUGCCAGCAGCCGCGGUAAUACGUAAGGUCCGAGCGUUGUCCGGAAUCAUUGGGCGUAAAGGGUACGUAGGCGGGUAAGCAAGUUAGAAGUGAAAUCCUAUAGCUCAACUAUAGUAAGCUUUUAAAACUGCUCAUCUUGAGGUAUGGAAGGGAAAGUGGAAUUCCUAGUGUAGCGGUGAAAUGCGCAGAUGUUAGGAGGAAUACCGGUGGCAAAGGCGAAGUUGUGGCCAUAACCUGACGCUGAGGUACGAAAGCGUGGGUAGCAAACAGG
rnacentral:rRNA from 1 species